UACAGAGGUCUCAAGCGUUGUUCGGAUUCAUUGGGCGUAAAGGGUGCGUAGGCGGCGCGGUAAGUCGGGUGUGAAAUCUUGGAGCUUAACUCCGAAACUGCAUUCGAUACUGCCGUGCUUGAGGACUGGAGAGGAGACUGGAAUUUACGGUGUAGCGGUGAAAUGCGUAGAUAUCGUAAGGAAGACCAGUGGCGAAGGCGGCAUACUGGACCACAUCUGACGCUGAGGCGCGAAAGCCAGGGGAGCAAACGGG
rnacentral:rRNA from 1 species